ensembl:misc_RNA 7SK 7SK RNA
AAGUGUGUGUAGCUAUAACUUCUAACCCCUUUGAUUUCCAGGGUUGGCUAGGCUGAUCUGGCCAUCAAGAUGGUGUCCCCCUCCUUCCUCAUUUUCAUACCUGUUUCUUUCCUGAUUUUGUAUGUUUCCUGAAGAAGGGGGGUAUUCCCCAAUGGAGGAGCACUGUUAUUUCCUCAUUGUUAUAUGAGUAGCUGUCUUCCCUAGCGAGAAUCACCAAAGAAGGUCUCAGGAAUGUAAUGAUGUUUUCAAUUUGACUAAAUACAGGAAUGACAUUAAAUCUUUCAAAGAUACAAAAUAAUGCAUAGUUUAU